GUUCUUGGUCUGUUGCCCAGGCUAAAGUGCAGUGGUGCAAUCACAGCUCACUGCAGCCUUGAACUCCUGGCUCAAACGAUCCUCCCACUUCAGCCUCCUGAGUAGCUGGGACUACUUGUGAGCCACCACACUCAGCUAAUUUUUGUAUUUUGUUGUAGAGACUGGAUUUCACCUUGUUCUCCAGGCUGGUCUUGAACUCCUGGCCUCUAACUAUCCACCUGCCUUGACCUCCCAGAAUGCUGGGAUGAGAGGCCUGUGCCUGGCCAAUUGUGUGGUUUUUGAUGAGCCCGCAGAAGACUCUUCAGAGGACUUUUGGGUUUUAGACGAGAUUCCUUAAAUUUUGUUUUUUAAUGUAAACCCCUCCCAGUUUAAUGAACAUUCAAAACUACUUCCCCAGGGAGUUUAUGGCUUUCCAAGAGCUUUGGGAAAAGGAGGAAGAGUUGCCACUGUUUGACUGACCAGGAAGCCCUGUCUUCUGCAGUUGACUGUCCUGGCAGGCCAUCCCCAUCCUUCUGGGCUCAGGUUUAUGCUCAGAUGCCUGGCAUCCCACCACUGGCAGCUGCCUACCCUCAACAUUGCCCUGACUGGGUUCCCACUUUAGAAGCAAAUGCAGCAUCUGCAGGAAUGGGAAAGAAAGUAACACAAGUGACUCUGAUGUAUCUCACAGUGACCUCAGGGACACUUCAUUCCUGGUGGGGUCAAUGGACAGAGAAUCUUGGAUGAAGAGGAAGGAUCACUAGAGUCACAGUGGAUGUUGAGCUUGGAUUCUACAAACAACACAGAGGGAGAAACUGAGAUGGUCAAAAUAACUGAAUAAAACUGAAUCAACCCAGCAGAGGAGUUAUCCUUCUCAGGAGCUGCUUUAGGAUGGAAGAUGAGGCUUGCUUUUUCUUUCUCCUAGAAGUCAGCAUUUUACAUGAUUCUGGGAGGGAAGAAAGGAGACAGGAACCAAGGAGCCUGAGUAGGGAUUUGCCCACCGCUGGGCAGCCAGGCUCCCGUCAGGAAGGCUUUUCAGAGGGAGUGUUGGAAGGAGUCGUCGAGGAGUCUCCCUCACCCAGGAAGUCUUCCUCACCGGGUGAGCCCCAACCUGCUGGACCUGCUCAGAAUUCGCCCAACAGGGGAUCCUGGUUGACUGAGGUCUGCUAAUUCCAAUUCACCUACGCUAAAUUCUCCCAGAAUGUCUUCAUCAUCAAUGAAUCCCUUUCCACUGACACAACGCCUGGAAGAACAUAAACUCUGUGACGAUAAAUGCCAAUUAAAUAAUAAUAAAAUAAACUUUCUUUGGUGGCCA